GGUUGACCUCGGAUCAGGUAGGACUACCCGCUGAACUUAAGCAUAUCAAUAAGCGGAGGAAAAGAAACCAACAGGGAUUGCCCCAGUAACGGCGAGUGAAGCGGCAACAGCUCAGAUUUGGAAUCUGGCCCCCAGGGCCCGAGUUGUAAUCUGGAGAGGAUGCUUCUGGCGCGGCGCCUUCCGAGUUCCCUGGAACGGGACGCCGGAGAGGGUGAGAGCCCCGUACGGUUGGACGCCUAGCCUUUGUGAAGCUCCUUCGACGAGUCGAGUAGUUUGGGAAUGCUGCUCAAAAUGGGAGGUAAAUUUCUUCUAAAGCUAAAUACCGGCCAGAGACCGAUAGCGCACAAGUAGAGUGAUCGAAAGAUGAAAAGCACUUUGAAAAGAGGGUCAAACAGUACGUGAAAUUGUUGAAAGGGAAGCGCCCGUGGCCAGACUUGUGCCCCGCGGACCACCCGGCGCCCUCAGCGCCGGUGCACUCCGCGGGGCGCAGGCCAGCAUCGGUUUUCCUAGGGGGAUAAAGGCGGCGGGAACGUGGCUCCCUCGGGAGUGUUAUAGCCCGCCGCGCCAUGCCCCUGGGGGGACCGAGGACCGCGCUUCGGCAAGGAUGCUGGCGUAAUGGCCACCGGCGACCCGUCUUGAAACACGGACCAAGGAGUCAAGCAUUGGGGCGAGUGUCUGGGUGUUAAACCCGCACGCGAAAUGAAAGUAAACGCAGGUGAGAGCUUCGGCGCAUCAUCGACCGAUCCUGAUGUUCUCGGAUGGAUUUGAGUAAGAGCCUUACCGCUUGGACCCGAAAGAUGGUGAACUAUGCCUGUAUAGGGUGAAGCCAGAGGAAACUCUGGUGGAGGCUCGCAGCGGUUCUGACGUGCAAAUCGAUCGUCAAAUAUGGGCAUGGGGGCGAAAGACUAAUCGAACCAUCUAGUAGCUGGUUACCGCCGAAGUUUCCCUCAGGAUAGCAGUGUUGUUCUUCAGUUUUAUGAGGUAAAGCGAAUGAUUAGGGACUCGGGGGCGCUAUAUUGCCUUCAUCCAUUCUCAAACUUUAAAUAUGUAAGAAGCCCUUGUUGCUUAGUUGAACGUGGGCCUUCGAAUGCAUCAACACUAGUGGGCCAUUUUUGGUAAGCAGAACUGGCGAUGCGGGAUGAACCGAACGCGGGGUUAAGGUGCCAGAGUGGACGCUCAUCAGACACCACAAAAGGCGUUAGUACAUCUUGACAGCAGGACGGUGGCCAUGGAAGUCGGAAUCCGCUAAGGACUGUGUAACAACUCACCUGCCGAAUGUACUAGCCCUGAAAAUGGAUGGCGCUCAAGCGUCCCACCCAUACCCCGCCCUCAGGGCAGAAACCAGGCCCUGAGGAGUAGGCGGCCGUGGAGGUCAGUGACGAAGCCCAGGGCGUGAGCCCGGGUCGAACGGCCUCUAGUGCAGAUCUUGGUGGUAGUAGCAAAUACUUCAAUGAGAACUUGAAGGACCGAAGUGGGGAAAGGUUCCAUGUGAACAGCGGUUGGACGUGGGUUAGUCGAUCCUAAGCCAUAGGGAAGUUCCGUUUCAAAGGGGCACUUGUGCCCCGCUUGGCGAAAGGGCAGCAGGUCAAUAUUCCUGCACCUGGAUGCGGGUUUUGCGCGGCAACGCAACCGAACGCGGAGACGACGGCGGGGGCCCCGGGCAGAGUUCUCUUUUCUUCUUAACGGCCUACCACCCUGGAAACAGUUUGUCUGGAGAUAGGGUUCCACGGCCGGAAGAGCCCAGCACCUCUGCUGGGUCCGGUGCGCCCCCGACGCCCCUUGAAAAUCCGCGGGAGGGAAUAAUCCUCGCGCCAGGUCGUACUCAUAACCGCAGCAGGUCUCCAAGGUGAACAGCCUCUGGUUGAUAGAACAAUGUAGAUAAGGGAAGUCGGCAAAAUAGAUCCGUAACUUCGG
rnacentral:rRNA from 1 species